UACGUAGGGCGCAAGCGUUUGUCCGGAAUUAUUGGGCGUAAAGGGCGCGUAGGCGGCUUUGCAAGUGGACGGGUGAAAUCCCUCGGCUUAACCGAGGAACUGCCUGUCAGACUGUGAGGCUUGAGAGCCGGGAGAGGUGAGUGGAAUUCCCAGUGUAGCGGUGAAAUGCGUAGAUAUGCGGAGGAACACCGAUGGCGAAGGCAAUCCCCUGGACCUGUACUGACGCUCAUGCACCGAAAGCGUGGG
rnacentral:rRNA from 1 species